rfam:Sphaerobolus stellatus SS14 unplaced genomic scaffold SPHSTscaffold_3, whole genome shotgun sequence.
GGCAACAUGGCCGAGUGGUCUAAGGCGCCAGAAUUAGGCCUAACUGAAAUCUGGUCCGAAAGGGCGUGAGUUCGAACCUCACUGUUGUCA